UGCUUUUUGUGUUACAGCAUUAACUGACCUGACCCGAGGCCCAGGGCUGGGAUUUCCCGGGUGUUGUCCACCCACCUUAAGCCAUAUGAGGUCCACAUGCCCAGCGUACAGAGGGCAACCUGCCUUGAACAGCAAGAAAGAUGGGAGAGGAUAGUGUCCCAGCCUGGUCCAGGCUCAGCAUGUGGAAUUUCCCCUGCAAGUCUGAUCAUGAUGCAGACUGACCAGGAGCUUGAUAGCCAAGCCCCAUCUCUUGACACCCAAAUGAACCCA